AAGAUUAUACUUUCAAGUGAUUGUUUUUUGUAGUUUGUUACUAGAGAAUGUUUGGGUGAAUGUGGGGAGCAGCGAUUAAACCACGAGAAAGCAAACGUAGAAUUGUUUUUCUGAGCGUGAAGCCGGCAUUGCGUGUUGCUUCAGUGCAACAGCCAUCUGCCGUUGAAGGUCAUUUUUCUCUCCGUUUUGGAGAGUAAGAGGGGAAAAACAGGAUCUGAGUGGU
rnacentral:snoRNA from 1 species